CCUGGUACAGUACUGUACUGUAAGGUGCCACAUACCUGGUACAGUACUGUACUGUAUGGUACCACGUAUCUGGUACAGUACUGUACUGUAAGGUGCCACAUACCUGGUACAGUACUGUACUGUAAGGUGCCACUGUGAACUAGUACAUGUUUGGUACAGUCACCAUGUAAAGUUGAGUGGACUCCCUCUGUAAGAACUUAUAAGACAGUGCAGUGUACAGUUAGCCUCUGUUUUAACUGAUCUGUCUAAAUAAAGAUAAUAAACUGUACUUGUUGUUGUCCCCAAGUUAACCCUCACUAUAAACUCUCAUUAUGUAACCAAAACUGUGUCCUUAUUAUAAUAAAGAUAAUAAACUGUACUUGUUGUUGUCCACAAGUUAACCCUCACUAUAAAACUCCCUCAUUAUGUAACCAAAACUGUGAUCUUCAUUAUUAUAAUAAAAUGGAGAGUCAAUACUGUUGGGACAUAUUUUGUCUUUAAAAUAUAAUAAAACAAACAUGUGUAUGACUCCCAAGAUGUGGCCAAGAGGGCCAAGAGUUACAGUGGUUCAUAUAAGACUACUUGUGGUUCCUUUGAUGGCUGUUAAACAUGUUUACAAUAAAACUUUAUAAUAUGUAAAUCAAUAUUUUAAGUCAUCUUCUAUACCAUUUUAUUAAUUAUUUCACUUACACAUUAUGUAUGGCUUUAUAAAUUAAUUAUAAGUUUAUAUUACAAAAAUGACCAAAUCUGCCGUAAGGAAUAAAUUACAUUAAAAUUUGUUACGGUACAUAAAUUGUGUUUUACCUUCUUGACCCACAAGAGUAGCUGACUCAUUCACUUGUUGGGGCACACCAGUUAAUAUUAACUUAACAUGGAAUCUAAUGGACAAAAUACAUGAGACUAACCCAAUAUGCACGCUCUCUCUCUCUCUCUCUCUUUAACAAGGAAGCUACAUUUUUUUAACAAGACCCUCCGAUUUAUUUUUAGGCGUAUAACCUAUAUUUUGAGGUCUUGUUGGUCAGCCUGUACAUUAUUUUAUUCCCAGGAGCUACAAAUUAAAUUUGUGAAUAAUAUAUAACUUGUUAUUUGUCCUUCACAUCUUUAUCAAAGCCUUUCCACUACAGUAUUGUCUUGGUAUUUUUAAUUAACUAAUACCCAGCAGUUAAGUUGACAACAUUUACCUAUGAAUCCAGUAGCUUGGUUUAGCUAAGAGUACAGCAGUUGAUGACACUAACAAGUCAGAUCACAACCAGAACUGUAGGUAAGUGACUGUGUAUAUCAGACAGUACAGUUUAUCCCAGAACUGUAGGUAAGUGACUGUGUAUAUCAGACAGUACAGUUUAUCCCACAACCAGAACUGUAGGUAAGUGACUGUGUAUAUCAGACAGUACAGUUUAUCCCAGAACUGUAGGUAAGUGACUGUGUAUAUCAGACAGUACAGUUUAUCCCACAACCAGAACUGUAGGUAAGUGACUGUGUAUAUCAGACAGUACAGUUUAUCCCAGAACUGUAGGUAAGUGACUGUGUAUAUCAGACAGUACAGUUUAUCCACAACAGAACUGUAGGUAAGUGACUGUGUAUAUCAGACAGUACAGUUUAUCCCACAACCAGAACUGUAGGUAAGUGACUGUGUAUAUCGGACAGUACAGUUUAUCCCAAGAUGGGACGACCACAAACAAAUUCUUUCAUUCCUAUACCAUAAUAUAAUACCAUCACCAUCAUUCCAGUAUAAUUUUUUUUUGCCUUUAAGCCC